UCCUACGGGAGGCAGCAGUGGGGAAUCUUAGACAAUGGGCGCAAGCCUGAUCUAGCCAUGCCGCGUGAGUGAUGAAGGCCUUAGGGUCGUAAAGCUCUUUCGCCWGWGAAGAUAAUGACUGUACCMGGUAAAGAAACCCCGGCUAACUCCGUGCCAGCAGCCGCGGUAAUACGGAGGGGGUUAGCGUUGUUCGGAAUUACUGGGCGUAAAGCGCGCGUAGGCGGAUCAGCAAGUYAGGGGUGAAAUCCCGGGGCUCAACCCCGGAACUGCCUUUAAAACUGUUGGUCUUGAGUUCGAGAGAGGUGAGUGGAAUUCCGAGUGUAGAGGUGAAAUUCGUAGAUAUUCGGAGGAACACCAGUGGCGAAGGCGGCUCACUGGCUCGAUACUGACGCUGAGGUGCGAAAGUGUGGGGAGCAAACAGGAUUAGAUACCCUGGUAGUCCACACCGUAAACGAWRAAUGCCAGUCGUCGGGCAGUAUACUGUUCGGUGACACACCUAACGGAUUAAGCAUUCCGCCUGGGGAGUACGGUCGCAAGAUUAAAACUCAAAGGAAUUGACGGA
rnacentral:rRNA from 1 species